GUGCUCGCUUUGGCAGCACCUGUACUAAAAUGGGAACGAUAUAGAGAAGAUUAGCACAGCCCCUUGUGGAAGGGUGACACGCAAGUUUGUGAAGUGCUCCAUGCUUCA
rnacentral:snRNA from 1 species